rnacentral:tRNA from 1 species
GCCUAGCUUGCUCAGUUGGUAGAGCAUGUGGCUCUUGAUCUCAGGGUUGUGAGUUCAAACCCCACAUUGGGUG